UACGUAGGGUGCAAGCGUUGUCCGGAAUUAUUGGGCGUAAAGAGCUCGUAGGCGGUUUGUCGCGUCGGCUGUGAAAACCCGGGGCUCAACCCCGGGCCUGCAGUCGAUACGGGCAAACUAGAGUGUGGUAGGGGAGACUGGAAUUCCCAGUGUAGCGGUGAAAUGCGCAGAUAUUGGGAAGAACACCAGUGGCGAAGGCGGUUCUCUGGGACGGUACUGACGCUGAGACGCGAAAGCGUGGGGAGCGAACAGG
rnacentral:rRNA from 1 species